CUGAUGCUAUGAUGCCCAGUUCUGUCUGUGUGUAGUCUGGUGCUGUGAGGUUUCUAGGCUUCACAGACAACAGUCUGGUGCUGUGAGGUUUCUAGGCUUCACAGACAACAGUCUGGUUACUAGGCUUCACAGACAACAGUCUGGUUACUAGGCUUCACAGACGACAGUCUGGUUACUAGGUUUCACAGACAACAGUCUGGUGCUGUGAGGUUUCUAGGCUUCACAGACAACAGUCUGGUUACUAGGCUUCACAGACAACAGUCUGGUGCUGUGAGGUUUCUAGGCUUCACAGACAACAGUCUGGUGCUGUGAGGUUUCUAGGCUUCACAGACAACAGUCUGGUGCUGUGAGGUUACUAGGCUUCACAGACAACAGUCUGGUUACUAGGCUUCACAGACAACAGUCUGGUUACUAGGCUUCACAGACAACAGUCUGGUGCUGUGAGGUUACUAGGCUUCACAGACAACAGUCUGGUUACUAGGCUUCACAGACAACAGUCUGGUUACUAGGCUUCACAGACAACAGUCUGGUUACUAGGCUUCACAGACAACAGUCUGGUGCUGUGAGGUUACUAGGCUUCACAGACAACAGUCUGGUGCUGUGAGGUUACUAGGCUUCACAGAUAAGUCUGGUUACUAGGCUUCACAGACAACAGUCUGGUGCUGUGAGGUUACUAGGCUUCACAGACAACAGUCUGGUUACUAGGCUUCACAGACAACAGUCUGGUUACUAGGCUUCACAGACAACAGUCUGGUUACUAGGCUUCACAGACAACAGUCUGGUUACUAGACUUCACAGACAACAGUCUGGUGCUGUGAGGUUACUAGGCUUCACAGACAACAGUCUGGUUACUAGGCUUCACAGACAACAGUCUGGUUACUAGGCUUCACAGACAACAGUCUGGUUACUAGGCUUCACAGACAACAGUCUGGUUACUAGGCUUCACAGACAACAGUCUGGUUACUAGGCUUCACAGACAACAUUAUGACACUCCUUCCUGUCUGAAAGCGUCCCCAUGUUCAGAAUUAUAUUUGUAUUAUUCUCA